AGCGAACGCUGGCGGCGUGCCUAACACAUGCAAGUCGAACGUGAAAAGGGAAACCUGAGUACAGUGGCGUACGGGUGAGUAACGCGUAGGUAAUCUACCCCAGAAUCUGGAAUAACCUGCCGAAAGGCGGGCUAAUACUGGAUAGAGCGAGGGAACUCGUAAGAGAGUUUUUCGGGAAAGGGAGCCCGCAAGGGCCUUCGUUCUGGGAUGAGCCUGCGUCUCAUUAGCUAGUUGGUAAGGUAACGGCUUACCAAGGCGAUGAUGAGUAGCUGGUCUGAGAGGAUGAUCAGCCACACUGGAACUGAAACACGGUCCAGACUCCUACGGGAGGCAGCAGUGGGGAAUCUUGCGCAAUGGACGAAAGUCUGACGCAGCCACGCCGCGGGAGUGAAGAAGGCCUUCGGGUUGUAAAGCUCUGUCGGAUGGGACGAACAUCUUCAUAGUGAAUAGCUAUGAGGACUGACGGUACCAUCAAAGGAAGCACCGGCUAACUCCGUG
rnacentral:rRNA from 1 species